rnacentral:tRNA from 1 species
GGGUAGGUGCCCGAGUGGCUAAAGGGAGCAGACUGUAAAUCUGCCGUCGAGAGACUACGGUGGUUCGAAUCCACCCUUGCCCACCA